GUUGUAUGGUUAAGUGACUAAGCGUACACGGUGGAUGCCUUGGCAGUCAGAGGCGAUGAAGGACGUAUUAACUUGCGAUAAGCCCAGAGAA
rnacentral:rRNA from 2 species